AGUAAGCUUCAAAACACUGGACCUGGGCAGAUAUCAACCCUCUAAGAGUUGGGGAAGAGCUACAAGGUCACUGAGGUAAUGCAAAAGUUCCUGCCCUCAGCAAUGACGGGGAAUGGAGAAUGGCUAGAAGAUGGAGUGUCUUGAAAGGUUUAUGCCCUUAGAGGACAAUACAAGGGAUGAGUAGGAGAGACCCUGCUUGUCAUUGCUAGACCACCUGGGACUCUUCUUCACUGGCAUGGCCACCUGCAACUGCUUCCAGAACCUGCCCUGAGGAUACUUGGAUUUCUCUCCUUUCCAUUUAAUGACCGUGAGCACCGUCUUAGCCCGCUUCAGCUCUUUCACCUUCAUGUCCUUCACAGCUUUGUACUGCACUAAAAUGACGUUGAUGUUGCCCCGGGAGGCCAUAUUUUCUAGGCCAGCCUUGAGCUCCAGGAGGGCUUGUGUUCCCUGGAGCACGUAGUUGGGACUUAGGACAACCAGGAGUCGUCUGCUUUUCUGAAUGAAGCUCAGGGUCUCAUCUGUGACAACUGGGAAAGAAAACACCAU